rnacentral:lncRNA from 1 species
GUCAGGAGGUACCAUAUUCCAGGUAUUUGGUUGGUUCUGGGCCAAGAACUAGAGUGGGGAGAUAGUUUACCAUCCAUCAUGCCAAGUAGAAGAAAUUUGCACUAGUGUAUUUGUGAUUUGUGAGGGACGCAAAUAACUGUCAAAUUAAAAUAUGAGAAAACACAAGCCUUUGGCAGCAAUUGACUGAAAUAACAGGUGCUAGCUUUCCUAAUGUGAGCCAAUUCAUUGAAUUGUCUUUCUUUGCUGCAAAAACGGAUCCAGAAAAUAUCUGAUGAUUACAUGUUUCAGGUUGGUCAUCCUGCUGGCCUAAUAAGGAGAAUGUUUGCCAGGAGUAAAACAGUCAGUUGUAUUUUUGAGCUGGUAGAUUUCUUUAGGAUAGACUUCAAAUAAAUUAGUUACAUGUGCACUACUGAAACCUCUUUCAACCUCUCUUGCAUUCCAAAUACAAGUUCUGAAUUAAUGUGUAUUAAGAAGUAGGACAAAACCAAGAAUACCAGUUACUGCAAAACUCAUUUAGGCACACUUAAUAGUCCACUCUAAGCAUUUCUUCUAAGUCUCUCACAUUAAUUACUAAAGCCUGUUUACAGUACUAAAAUUCUAUCAUUCAAGCAUCAAUGAUUAUAUUUCAGGAAAAGAAAAUCACUCAUUUCAGCAAUAGCAUUACUGCUAUAUUCUAAAAAAAAGAAAAAAGAAAAAAAAAAGAAUCUAAAUUAAAAAAAAAAAAAAAAACAGCAUCCUUAAUAGGAUACAUGGAGAAAAAACAUUUUAGGGAAAAAAAAAAAAAUGUGCUUUAUUUGCACAGCAGGAAUUAUAAAAUGUAAACACCAUAUUGGCCCACACCACAAAAUCCAUGAGAAAGGUUCAAAUUUGAACACCAUGUGUGCAUUAUUUUCAAAUAUUGAGCAUGGCUUGCUUCCCUGACUCUAACUCAAAAAAUGUUAAGUGAUAUCCCAACUGCUUUUAAAAUGUUUACAGAAAUCAUUAAACGAAUAUGAAUAGUAGUUGAGGAAUGAUGCAAAGUGAUGGUAAUACUAUAUGCAAGUGAAUGUAAAAAAAGAAUGUACAGAUAACCGGCUGAGAUUUGCAAUUGCAUGGAAAGUCUUCUUUUGUGGGCCUUAUCUGAACUCUUAACUGAUACCACAAAGAAAAAAUCUAGUAGCACAAGUUCAUUGACACCUGGAGGGUCAGGCCUACAAAGCUUACCUUCAAAGUGCAAAUUUUAACAAUGGAAUGUUUUUAGCAGGGACAGAAAGACAAUCAUCUGUCUUUUUCUUGAUAAAGUUAAAUGUUCAGAAAGUAUUUUCUCCUGGUCAAACUUAUUUCAGUUUCUUGGUAGAACAAAAAAAUAUUUAGCCAAAAAUAUCACUGACUCUUUCACAUACACAGAACUAUUCUUAGGGGUGUGUGGGAAAGAAAAAGGCCUUACCUAUGGAUCACCUAAUGCAACUUUUACUUAGAACUUAAGCUUUUUGAAUCAACUACAUUAAAUACCGACAUGUACCUCCCUCAGCCCCUCCCUCUCCACCCGCCUAUCCCUAACACCCCCAAUGAACCAGGUAUUCUAAUGUCUUCCUGUUUUCUAAGCCUCAUGACAAGGCUGUUGAGUACCACCUCCAAUGGAACAAAAUGAACACCUAAGGUGCAUUUUUUAUAGCACCUGUUUCUUCUCCACAACU